UACGUAGGGGGCAAGCGUUGUCCGGAAUUAUUGGGCGUAAGGAGCGCGUAGGCGGUCCGAUAAGUCGGCUGUGAAAGUCAGGGGCUCAACCCUUGGAAGCCGGCCGAUACUGUCGGACUAGAGUCCGGAAGAGGCGAGUGGAAUUCCCGGUGUAGCGGUGAAAUGCGCAGAUAUCGGGAGGAACACCAAUGGCGAAGGCAGCUCGCUGGGACGGUACUGACGCUGAGGCGCGAAAGCGUGGGGAGCAAACAGG
rnacentral:rRNA from 1 species